GACGAACCGUGCUAACGUUGUUCGGAAUCACUGGGCUUAAAGGGCGCGUAGGCGGUUUGCCAAGUCAGGGGUGAAAUCUUUCGGCUCAACCGGAAAAGGGCCUUUGAUACUGGCAAACUAGAGCGAGGUAGGGGCAGAUGGAACUUCCGGUGGAGCGGUGAAAUGUGUUGAUAUCGGAAGGAACGCCGGUGGCGAAAGCGAUCUGCUGGACCUCUUCUGACGCUGAGGCGCGAAAGCCAGGGGAGCAAACGGG
rnacentral:rRNA from 1 species